GUGAGCACGAGGAUGCUGGUGUUUGGAUGUUUUAUUGAUGCUUGUAGGAGAAUGAAUGAAUAAUAUAUAUUUUUUAUUUUCUUCCCUACACUGGAUGGAUUUGUUUUAUUUUUGACUGUUAGCAGCACUGACUGAAAACUAUUGGAUAAAUAAAAAAAGUAAGAAAAAUAAAGGUU